GUGAAGGCGGAGUCGCUAGUAAUCGCGGAUCAGCAACGCCGCGGUGAAUGCGUUCCCGGGCCUUGUACACACCGCCCGUCAAGUCAUGAAAGUGGGUAGCACCCGAAGCCGGUGGCCCGACCCUCGUGGGGGGGAGCCGUCUAAGGUGAGACUCGUGAUUGGGACUAAGUCGUAACAAGGUAGC
rnacentral:rRNA from 1 species